GGGGGGCGGGGGGCGUACGACGUUUUCGUGAAAGAAUAUUAUGAUCACCAAUAUGAUGAAAAAUAAAUUUGUGCUCAAGUAGAUGCAAUAAAAAUAUAUUCUGAAUCCAGAUUUCCCCUGUAAUUUGCAUUAAUAAAAAUACAAUAAUAAAUUAAAUUUUCAUUAUACCAAUAUAAGAAUAAUGUGUAUACAAGUACUUAUUAUUGUG
rnacentral:lncRNA from 1 species